rnacentral:rRNA from 1 species
GAUGAACGCUGGCGGCGUGCCUAAUACAUGCAAGUCGAGCGAACGGACGAGAAGCUUGCUUCUCUGAUGUUAGCGGCGGACGGGUGAGUAACACGUGGAUAACCUACCUAUAAGACUGGGAUAACUUCGGGAAACCGGAGCUAAUACCGGAUAAUAUUUUGAACCGCAUGGUUCAAAAGUGAAAGACGGUCUUGCUGUCACUUAUAGAUGGAUCCGCGCUGCAUUAGCUAGUUGGUAAGGUAACGGCUUACCAAGGCAACGAUGCAUAGCCGACCUGAGAGGGUGAUCGGCCACACUGGAACUGAGACACGGUCCAGACUCCUACGGGAGGCAGCAGUAGGGAAUCUUCCGCAAUGGGCGAAAGCCUGACGGAGCAACGCCGCGUGAGUGAUGAAGGUCUUCGGAUCGUAAAACUCUGUUAUUAGGGAAGAACAUAUGUGUAAGUAACUGUGCACAUCUUGACGGUACCUAAUCAGAAAGCCACGGCUAACUACGUGCCAGCAGCCGCGGUAAUACGUAGGUGGCAAGCGUUAUCCGGAAUUAUUGGGCGUAAAGCGCGCGUAGGCGGUUUUUUAGUCUGAUGUGAAAGCCCACGGCUCAACCGUGGAGGGUCAUUGGAAACUGGAAAACUUGAGUGCAGAAGAGGAAAGUGGAAUUCCAUGUGUAGCGGUGAAAUGCGCAGAGAUAUGGAGGAACACCAGUGGCGAAGGCGACUUUCUGGUCUGUAACUGACGCUGAUGUGCGAAAGCGUGGGGAUCAAACAGGAUUAGAUACCCUGGUAGUCCACGCCGUAAACGAUGAGUGCUAAGUGUUAGGGGGUUUCCGCCCCUUAGUGCUGCAGCUAACGCAUUAAGCACUCCGCCUGGGGAGUACGACCGCAAGGUUGAAACUCAAAGGAAUUGACGGGGACCCGCACAAGCGGUGGAGCAUGUGGUUUAAUUCGAAGCAACGCGAAGAACCUUACCAAAUCUUGACAUCCUUUGACAACUCUAGAGAUAGAGCCUUCCCCUUCGGGGGACAAAGUGACAGGUGGUGCAUGGUUGUCGUCAGCUCGUGUCGUGAGAUGUUGGGUUAGGUCCCGCAACGAGCGCAACCCUUAAGCUUAGUUGCCAUCAUUAAGUUGGGCACUCUAAGUUGACUGCCGGUGACAAACCGGAGGAAGGUGGGGAUGACGUCAAAUCAUCAUGCCCCUUAUGAUUUGGGCUACACACGUGCUACAAUGGACAAUACAAAGGGCAGCGAAACCGCGAGGUCAAGCAAAUCCCAUAAAGUUGUUCUCAGUUCGGAUUGUAGUCUGCAACUCGACUACAUGAAGCUGGAAUCGCUAGUAAUCGUAGAUCAGCAUGCUACGGUGAAUACGUUCCCGGGUCU